GACACAUCUCUCUUAAUCUCAGUUAUACUCGGAGGUACAUUCAGAAAGAACAUUAAGAUACUUCUUCGAAGCUCUUGCGUCAAUUUUUAAGCUGAUUAAAUCAGUGAAACUGAAGCCCCAAAAUGUAGGCGUUCCAGAUCCUUCCCGGGAUUAAAGACCUGUCUGCUACCCUCGGCGGAUCCGUGACUGGAGUGCUUCGCUGACGGAUAUCCAGCCCCCCAAAGGACGUCCUCUCAGUGGGGUAUAAAUAAGCGCCCGCUGCCCUCCU